rnacentral:rRNA from 1 species
GGAAACGGCAACUAAUACCGUAUACGCCCUACGGGGGAAAAAUUAUUGCUAUUAGAUGAGCCUAUAUUAGAUUAGCUUAGUUGGUGGGGUAAUGGCCUACCAAGGCAAUGAUCUAUAGCUGAUCUGAGAGGAUGAUCAGCCACACUGGAACUGAGAUACGGUCCAGACUCCUACGGGAGGCAGCAGUGGGGAAUAUUGGACAAUGGGCGAAAGCUUGAUCCAGCCAUGCCGCAUGAGUGAAGAAGGCCUUUGGGUUGUAAAGCUCUUUUAGUGAGGAAGAUAAUGACGGUACUCACAGAAGAAGUCCUGGCUAACUCCGUGCCAGCAGCCGCGGUAAUACGGAGAGGGCUAGCGUUAUUCGGAAUUAUUGGGCGUAAAGGGCGCGUAGGCGGAUUAGUAAGUUAAAAGUGAAAUCCCAAGGCUCAACCUUGGAAUUGCUUUUAAAACUGCUAAUCUAGAGAUUGAAAGAGGAUAGAGGAAUUCCUAGUGUAGAGGUGAAAUUCGUAAAUAUUAGAGGAACACCAGUGGCGAAGCGUCUAUCUGGUUCAAAUCUGACGCUGAGGCGCGAAGGCGUGGGGAGCAAACAGGAUUAGAUACCCUGGUAGUCCACGCUGUAAACGAUGAAUGUUAAUAUGGGGA